UUAAUCGAGCAUACUUCAAUGUUCACGGUCACUGGUUAAACCUAUUAAACUUCAUGUACUCAUAAAGGAGGUUUUGCUCCACAUAAUAACAAGUGAAACUUAUUUAUUAGUCUGAGCUAACAGCGGUGUGAAUACGCCUUUCUGGUUCAAGGCUCAUUAUCUUUCCCUUAUUAUGUGUGAAUGAUAAUUAAUGACUUCUAUUAUGGCUAUCCAUUGGAUCAGAGCAAUAGAAACGGGAUGAAACCGUUGGAGUUAGUCGUCAGACAGGAAGAUGACUUCCGGCGUAGACAAAAGAACCAAACCAACUCAAAUAGAAAAUACUUUCUCGAGCACUAUUUAACAAUGCCUCAGUACAUAUAAAGUUGAAAAUCUGAUCAGUUGAAAUACUUUGAUGGCUGAUACUUUUCACAUUAAAAUAAUUUUAUUAAUGUAACAUUUGUAAUCACUCCA